AAUUGGGGAUGAUGGGUCAGAUAGUGGUUUCUCCAACUUUAGAUAUGAUGACAAUAAAAUAUAAUGUUUUGAGUAAUUGUAUUUUUGGAUGUUGGUAGGUCAUGCAAGAGUUAUGUAGGUAAAUCGAUAAGAAAAAUGGCAAGCAGACCUACAACAUAGGUUUAUGCUGAUGAAACAGUUGAGGAAAGGGUAUAUGGAUGGCGAAUAAUUUUCCGAUUUUGCUUAAUAAACGGGUUCUUGGUUUUUGUAUUUGUCUUCAAAGAAUAAUUAUUGUAUGAUUACUUGCAAUGAUUUUUGUGGUGAAUUUUGUUUUCUUACCGGUGUAUAUUUUAUUAGAUUACAGCUUUGGUACUUGAGUUAGUUUCCCAUUUGCAGCCCUAGCAGCCAGACGGCUUCAGAAGUGAAUCUAGCGAAGUAGAUAAGUCCCGGUGGCUUUUCUUUCAUUUCCGCUUUGCACAAGUUAGUUUCCCAACCAUAUGGGUAGUUUUUAUGGUGGCACUAAUUUGUUUAAGAACACCUUAAUCAAGACGUACAUACACUCUUUUCUUUUAUCUUAAAGUUUAUUACUAUACAUAUACUAAAACAAAGUGAAAGAAGAAUCUGAAAGGCUGAAUGAUAUUGAACUCGACAAUCUAGAGGUUUAAUGUCUCAAUUCGUUUCAUUUAUAUACUGUUAUUUUUUGUUGUAAGUUAUAUCUAAUAUGAUUAUCAUCUAACUGAUGCACAUUGAUGAAGAUGAAAAGUACAAUAGAAAGUUAGAGUCUGGACUCUGUUCUCUUCAGGUAAACUGUUGCCUAUGAUGAAAUUCAAGUGACCACAAGUUCUAUCUAGCAACCAGGAAUAAGAAGUUUCUAAUGGAGGAAGAUGCACCGUUCACUUAUAUCUUAUAUGGUAAAAAUUGAUGCAUACCAAGCAUAAGGAGAAGAUCAACAGUGGGCCUCUCUUUGUAUUGAUGGAGAGAGAAAGAGUUGUGUUAAGAAUCUUUGAGCCACCACAACUAACAUGGAAAUUGUCGACGAACUCUAUCUCAUCCGGUAAGUGAGGAUAUACGAUGGCCGCAACGGUGGCUGCAUUACGGUUCCUACGAUUAUAGUGAUGUUUAUGGGCUGAACGUUUGAACCUUAUCUGAGCGUUGUAAUCGUCGGAAGAAUCAGGCCCCACUGCCUCGGUGUCAUCCUUUGUCGUGUCUCCUUUCUUUGCCGCCUUUUGGUAAUCUUCUUUCGCCAAUUUCCUGAAUUAGGUCAUUUAUUUUUUCAUCGCUAAACGUCAGCAGUAGUUUACAACUUUCAUUAUUUGUUUCGUCAAGUUAGCUUUGAUUAUUCAAGAACAAAGAAGAAAUAUGGACAUGAUUCUGAAAUAAAAAUGUUGGGGUUAAAACUUUGAUAUGAUUAAUUGAUAACUUUGAUUAGUUUUUGCACCACGACCAUACAUAACUUUGCAAAAUGAUGAAAUUUAAGUGACCACAAGUUCUAUCUCGCUGCCAGGAAUAAGAAGGUAAUAUUUAUGCUUAAUCUUUUUAUCUACAGUGAUUAAAAGUGUAUAUGUGGAGUUGAGACCGCUGGAGGUGGAAUGGUUCGGUUGGGUAUAUAGUGAAAAUGUUUUUUUAUCUUUAUAUAUAUUUCUGAAUAUAUAUUUCUGAGCUAAAUCGUAGCAACUUGAGAAGAUGCACCGGUAAGUCUAAGUACUUUUAGGUAAAAUUUAACUUUCUUUAUUUUUGUUUUUGCAGUUUCUAAUGGAGGAAGAUGCACCGUUCACUUAUAUCUUAUAUGGUAAAAAUUGAUGCAUACCAAGCAUAAGGAGAAGAUCAACAGUGGGCCUCUCUUUGUAUUGAUGGUUCUUAUUAACUACAGAAUUGAUAAAAAGCUUCUAUGACGUGUUAGGGCAUUUGAUCCGACACUGGAAUUUAGCGCUGGAAAAGUAAGAGAGUUGUGGAGUGAGGAGUUGGAGAAUUCAAGUUCGCAAUUUCGCGUCAUACAUGCAUGUCAUGUUGAGUUGUGAUCACCAUGUUAUUGAUGGUUAAAUUAUGUUUUAUAUACCUAAGUGAGAAGUUGGGGGAUUUCUAUAUACACGGUAAUUGCUGAUGAAAUAAGUCAGUGAGAAGUUGGUGGAUUUGAUAGACUAUGAGUUACUCUUUUAAUCUUCAACGUAAAUAUUUAUAUAAACUCUAAAAGGUUUAGUUGUGUGAAAGACCUAUAAGUAUAAUGUUGGUGAUUAUUUUGCAUCUGAACUAAUAUGGGUUGACAACAAAAUGUCAAUGUGGUUCUUUAUUAUGGGAUGUGAGGAUGUAAUGUUUGUGACC